AAGUCGUAACAAGGUAACCGUAGGUGAACCUGCGGUUGGAUCAUUAACACGUAUCCACGUCACACCCGAAGUGCACUGCGUUCCCCCUCCCUCUCUCUCACCCGUCUUGUUCAGUAGGUCUCCUUCUGGCGCGCAUUGGAUUGGCCGGCCGUAGCAAUACGACCAGCACGCGCCGAAGGACCGAAGUGGACGUUCGCCCGUCAAACCGGCGGCGCCCACACAAGCAGCGUGAGGGACGAGGCAACCGCGCUCCGCAACAAAGCUCUCUCUCCAAGAGCGACCGCGGACGCAUCGACAUACACAUCAAUCACACCCUUUUUGCUAGUUGACUUUUUUAAUGUGGAGUCGCAGUUGAGCUUUGAGUAGCGCAAUUCGCCUCUACCAUUUCAUUAUUGAAAUGUCGAAAACAACUCUUAGCAAUGGAUAUCUUGGUUCUC
rnacentral:misc_RNA from 1 species